rnacentral:rRNA from 1 species
CCUACGGGAUGCACCAGUGGGGAAUAUUGCACAAUGGGCGCAAGCCUGAUGCAGCCAUGCCGCGUGUGUGAAGAAGGCCUUCGGGUUGUAAAGCACUUUCAGCGGGGAGGAAGGCGGUGAGGUUAAUAACCUCAUCGAUUGACGUUACCCGCAGAAGAAGCACCGGCUAACUCCGUGCCAGCAGCCGCGGUAAUACGGAGGGUGCAAACGUUAGUCGGAAUUACUGGGCGUAAAGCGCACGCAGGCGGUCUGUCAAGUCGGAUGUGAUAUCCCCGUGCUCAACCUGGGAACUGCAUCUGAUACUGGCAAGCUUGAGUCUCGUAGAGGGGGGUAGAAUUCCAUGUGUAGCGGUGAAAUGCGUAGAGAUCUGGAGGAAUACCGGUGGCGAAGGCGGCCCCCUGGACGAAGACUGACGCUCAGGUGCGAAAGCGUGGGGAGCAAACAGGAUUAGAUACCCGCGUAGUC